UCCGAUUUGUCACCGGCAGUCUCCUAUGAGUCCCCGACAUAACUCGCUGGCAACAUAGGACAGGGGUUGCGCUCGUUGCGGGACUUAACCCAACAUCUCACGGCACGAGCUGACGACAGCCAUGCACCACCUGUACAGAACCCUUACGGACCCCCCAUCUCUGGGAGUAAAUCCUGUAUGUCAAACCCAGGUAAGGUUCUUCGCGUUGCAUCGAAUUAAUCCGCAUGCUCCGCCGCUUGUGCGGGCCCUCGUCAAUUCCUUUGAGUUUUAGCCUUGCGGCCGUACUCCCCAGGCGGGGCGCUUAAUGCGUUAGCUGCGGCACGGAACCCGUGGAAUGGAUCCCACACCUAGCGCCCAACGUUUACGGUGUGGACUAC
rnacentral:misc_RNA from 1 species